GCGAGGGUACUGGCUUAGCGACAGUGUCUGGCAGCGAGGGCACUGGCUUAGUGUCAGAGUUUAGUGCCAUCACUACCGCUGUGUAUGAUACUGUUCAGUGUGUGUGAUACUAACAGUGGCGUGUGGGAGCUUCACUCUAACCUACUCUUGUUUUCUAAGUAAACGCCAGUGCAACAACAUCCUUCUCAGGAUUCAGUGAUACAUCAGUGAAUAUCUGAUCCAAACCUUCAUCAGACUCAGUGUUGACAAUGGGGAGCAUGGCUUGGCUCAGGAAUGAUGUGUUGUCGUUCCUGCCAGACCUCAUCACCUACACGACACUCACAUUAGUCGUCGCCAUCGUACUGCCAUGGCUCAUCAGGAGGCAGCGGAAGGUAUCUGCAGAUUUUUAAAUACA